AAGGAACGACAACUCUGGGUAGAGAUUGACAAGAGAAGUGAGGUCAACAGGUACCAAGUUUACGGAUCGACCUGACACCACUACUUCCCGAGGACUUCAAAACUUCAAAUUAAAACUUAAAAGACCUGAAGUGAAGGAUGGCACUGAAAAUACACAUAAUUUAUUGUGGUGCAUGAGGAUAUGCCCCCAAGUUUCGCAAAAUUAAAGCGGAACUUGAGAUGGAAUUUCCCAAUGAGUUAGAUAUAACAGGGGAGGGAACUCCUAACACCACUGGCUGGUUGGAGGUCCAGAUUGUCGAUGGUGAACUUCUUCAUUCCAAAAAGAAUGGGGAUGGAUAUGUUGACACUGAUGCUAAGAUGAAUAAGAUCAAGGCUGGAGUCAGAAAAGCAUUGGGAAAGUAAAGAGUGAUGUGGCCAGACAGUUGUGGUGAUGAGAGAUGGUGGAGAAAUAAAGAAAAAUCAGCUAUGAAGGGUCAUAACAAAAAUAGACAAACAAGUCAUGUUGUGACCUGGAAUCACUCAAGAGGAACCUUUGUUUCUGCGCCAUUAACUAUCGACACAACAAAGGAUGUAUUAUAUCUUACUACAUGUACUUCUUACUUAAAGUGUAUUUUUUCCUUUUUGUAUUUUUUCCUUGUACUCUAAUAUACAUUUUUACAAAAUUUAUCUCAUAUUUUUUUUAUUUUUGAAAUGAAUUAAUUAAUUAAUGCCAUUAAUUCAAAUUCUUGUUUGCUUUCCCAUUUUCAACUGACCUAGCAAAAAUGUGGCCACUCAAAAAAUGUUUUCUUGAGAUUAUAUUUGUUAUUCAUUUCUUUUGAAGAUGUGUCACUUUUAAGAUGUAGCUUCAUCAAUCUUGAAUUUGUUCUUUGAAUUGUGCUAUUAACACCAUGACAACAGUCAAAAUGGACUGCCAAUGGGAGACAAACAAUAUUUCUAUUUACUAGUAGUUUCAAAUCUAGGCUUAAAUGAUUAUGCAUCAAUUUUAUUUGUAAUUUUUAUUUGAAAUUGAAUUAUUGUUAAACCUUGCAUUUAGAAACGUAUAGGUAGGGCCAAAAAAAAUUAAUCAAUAGUUUCUCAGGCCCUACCGCAUCCAUUGAAAAGGCACUGCAUGGAAUUUUUCUUUUAUCAACUUAUAUUAAUUUUGGGUUUUUGUUUAUGUAAAUAAGGUAAUUUACUCUUCUAUUAUAGACAUUUAUUUUUAUUUUUUAUUUUAAUAAAAUGAUAGGUAUUUUUUAUCAAAUAAUUGCAUACUCAUUUAUAUGCAAGUGUUUAAGAAAAAUGUGUAAAUUUAAUAGUAAUGAAGUGAAGCUAUCCAUUGCUUAUUCUGUAUAAACAUGUACAUGAGAAAGAAAAGGUAACUCAUUCUACAGUCAACAUAAAAAAGAAAGAUAACUCAUACUACAGCCAAGUAAAAAAAAUAAUAAUACCUGCCUGCCUCAUCAAAAAUUUUUAUUUUUGGCCCGAGUGGUUGUGAGUUUGACCCCUUCAGGUUGUUUCCUACUCUUUUAAUCUUUUCUAUAACUUGGAAUACCAAUGGAUUACUGUGUCAUACUUUCUAUUUUCAUAUUACUUGCUGUGUUGAAGCAUGUAUAUAAUUUAUGAACAUAUUGAAAAUGAAUGAAUAAAUCUGUCAAUAAUUUUUGAC